AUGUCCUUGGCGUGUGCACCCCUGUGGAAUCCAGUUCAUCUCCAAUCUGUCAGGAAGUAUCAGAGGUGGUUUUGACUCCUUAUGUCCUGGGCCUGUGCACAAAAUGUGUAAACUGGAUAGAACAUCAGACAGCUCAUUAUAGAGACAAGUAUGCUCCAUUCCCAAAGUUGGAUGACAGAACAAGUCAUGACCUUCUGUGGAGGAAAAUGAGAUCCCGAGUGAAGUCUACAAUGUCAUUGACUCUGAAGAAGGACUCAGAGACCCAUUGGUGUUUAAUGACCCUUACUGGCCUAUGCAAUGGGAACUGCUGUGGAGGAUGGUUGGUGGAGCAGCAUGGAAGUAUCAUGGAAUUCAGUAUGCCUGAAGCAGCAGGGAGGCAUUUCCGGGUAGGUCUCCAUCUGGAGAUCAUGCUUUUUACAACUAAAAGCCUUAAUGAUCUCUAUUCCUCUUUUCUCAUAUCACCAUCACCAAAAAGUAAAGAUGUGCAGGGCAAGUGGCAAGUAGUGGCCAAAGAGAAAGGAAUGGUUAUAGCUGACAUUAAGCAAAAAUAAACUGAAGAGAAUGAGACCUCUGUAAUUUUCAGCACAGCAUUCACCUUGAUCUCUCCUGCCUGCCAUUUCAGUGCCACUGAUAGACCUUCUUUUAUCAUGUAGGACAUGAUAGGUCCAAUUUUAGGUACUGACUGAAGAUUGUUCUCAAACAGGUCGCUACCUACUCUCAUAUUAAGUAGUGAUCGCAUGACCUUGGAUUGCAGCUCUUUCCUGUUUAUGGGGUUUAUUCUUACAGCGAUGACUCAGGUGGGUCUGUCAUUUGUGGAUAUUCCUCUCCACUCUACUCUUGAUUUCUUGUGCACAUCCCUCAUUAUGGAGACAUCCAUAGCUCCUGGCAUCUGUUCCCCUCUUUGGUGGAUUGCAGAGCUGAUGAACCUGAUCUGACUCUUUGGUCUUUCUACUAAAGAAGUGAAACAGACAGGUUUAGCAGGUACAUAAAAGUAACAAUAGUGAGAACAAAAAAGUUUUAAUUGGCCAAAAUUUAGUCAGAACUUUGAGCAAUUGCAAAACAAAACAAAACAAAACAAAACAAAAAACCAGAAAACAAAACAAAACAAAAAACUCUGAAAUUUAUGUAAUACUUAACUACCCAGUAGAACCUAUUCAUGGGGACCAGACACAGCAAGGAAUAGAGCAAAUGAAUGAAAAACAAAGCAUAAGUAGAUUCUCCAGUCUAAUAUGGCAUUUCCCUUGACCUAUGAAGGUCCACAACAUGAGCAGCUGAAUCUCUGAAUCUCUGUGUAAAAAUCUCUGAUAAUUCUUUGAAGGUUAGGUGCCAAAUUGUGUUCACCCACAUCUCAUUUGGCAAACAGAUCUGAUCACUGUUGUCCUUUUUCAUCCUCCCAUCACUGAUGGACUCUUCUCGUCCCAAUAAUUCCUUUGACACUCCAAGAAAUUCUGAUUUUCUACCCUGAAUAUGCUACUGUGGGUAAAGCAUUGCCUGUACCCCUGAUGAUUACUCCUAUGAAUGGUUUACCUAGAGGGCAACAUCUAAGCAAAACAACAGAAUAAUAAACUAAAGAAAACAAAGGGAGAGUUUCUUUUA
rnacentral:lncRNA from 12 species